rnacentral:rRNA from 1 species
GACGAACGCUGGCGGCGUGCUUAACACAUGCAAGUCGAGCGGAAAGGCCACCUCGGUGGUACUCGAGCGGCGAACGGGUGAGUAACACGUGAGUAAUCUGCCCCUGGCUUUGGGAUAGCCACCGGAAACGGUGAUUAAUACCGGAUACGACCACUUCUCGCAUGGGAUGGUGGUGGAAAGUUUUUUCGGCCAGGGAUGUGCUCGCGGCCUAUCAGCUUGAUGGUGAGGUAAUGGCUCACCAUGGCUUCGACGGGUAGCCGGCCUGAGAGGGUGACCGGUAACACUGGGACUGAGACACGGCCCAGAGUCCUAGGGGGGGCAGAUGUGGGGAAUAUUGGACAAUGGGCGGAAGCCUGAUCCAGCAACGCCGCGUGAGGGAUGACGGCCUUCGGGUUGUAAACCUCUUUCAGCAGGGACGAAGCGCAAGUGACGGUACCUGCAGAAGAAGCACCGGCCAACUACGUGCCAGCCGCCGCGGUAA